rnacentral:rRNA from 1 species
UACGAAGGGGGCUAGCGUUGCUCGGAAUCACUGGGCGUAAAGCGCACGUAGGCGGCUUUCUAAGUCAGGGGUGAAAUCCUGGAGCUCAACUCCAGAACUGCCUUCGAUACUGGCGAUCUUGGAGUCCGGGAGAGGUGAGUGGAACUCCGAGUGUAGAGGUGAAAUUCGUAGAUAUUCGGAAGAACACCAGUGGCGAAGGCGGCUCACUGGCCCGGUACUGACGCUGAGGCGCGAAAGCUAGGGGAGCAAACGGG